rnacentral:lncRNA from 1 species
CAGAAUUUUUGAAGAAUAAAAGAUUCUUAUGGGAUAUCCAGUUUGACACAUCUAAUAGCUGGUUGAAGAUGAGAAUCUGUAAGUCAAGUGAGUGACUGGGGAUAGAUAAAUAGAUCUAAGGCUCAUCAUGACCGCUAUUAUUGAAACCAUGAGAACUGAUGACAUCACCAACUAUAACAGAAUUUAGGAAAAAGAGAAGGGGGCCCACAAUAGAAGCCUGGUGGGACACCUACUUUUAGGACAUGUGAUCCGGAUGAAGAUUCAAGAAAAAACCUGACAAGAGGUCAGACAGUUAAAAGAAGAACCAGAAAUGAUUAAUGUCUUUAUAGAGUGAAAACUUUAAAGCAACCAGUUCCUCCUUCUUCAGGAAAAGCAAGUAUAUUAAAUAAUAUGCCCCCCUUGAAUACUGGGAACAUUUUUUUCAUUCUUUGCACAACACAGUACAGUUCUCGGAAAAAAACCCUUUAUGUCCACCCUUUCUUGAAUUGAUUUGUUGGGAAUUAAAAUCAGAAUGAAAUCUGUGAGAAGGGAAUUGGUAAACUGAUUAAAAUGUUUCCAAAUUAGACAAAAUAAAUAUUGCUAAAACAAAGAGUAUUAAUGUUCA